UACGUAGGUGGCAAGCGUUGUCCGGAAUUAUUGGGCGUAAAGCGCGCGCAGGCGGUCCUUUAAGUCUGGUGUGAAAUCUCCCGGCUCAACUGGGAGGGUGCGCCGGAUACUGAGGGGCUAGAGUGUGGGAGAGGAAAGUGGAAUUCCUGGUGUAGCGGUGAAAUGCGUAGAUAUCAGGAGGAACACCGGUGGUGUAAACGGCUUUCUGGACCAUAACUGACGCUGAGGCACGAAAGCGUGGGUAGCAAACAGG
rnacentral:rRNA from 1 species